GACGAACGCUGGCGGCGUGCUUAACACAUGCAAGUCGAACGGAAAGGCCCUGCUUUUGUGGGGUGCUCGAGUGGCGAACGGGUGAGUAACACGUGAGUAACCUGCCCUUGACUUUGGGAUAACUUCAGGAAACUGGGGCUAAUACCGGAUAGGAGCUCCUGCUGCAGGGUGGGGGUGGGAAAGUUUCGGCGGUUGGGGAUGGACUCGCGGCUUAUCAGCUUGUUGGUGGGGUAGUGGCUUACCAAGGCUUUGACGGGUAGCCGGCCUGAGAGGGUGACCGGCCACAUUGGGACUGAGAUACGGCCCAGACUCCUACGGGAGGCAGCAGUGGGGAAUAUUGCACAAUGGGCGGAAGCCUGAUGCAGCAACGCCGCGUGCGGGAUGACGGCCUUCGGGUUGUAAACCGCUUUCGCCUGUGACGAAGCGUGAGUGACGGUAAUGGGUAAAGAAGCACCGGCUAACUACGUG
rnacentral:rRNA from 1 species